rnacentral:rRNA from 1 species
GACGAACGCUGGCGGCGUGCUUAACACAUGCAAGUCGAGCGGUAAGGCUCCUUCGGGAGUACACGAGCUGCGAACGGGUGAGUAACACGUGAGUAACCUGCCCUUCUCAUCGGAAUAAGCGUUGGAAACGACGUCUAAUGCCGAAUAUGACUUCGGAAGGCAUCUUCUGAAGUGGAAAGCUCCGGCGGAGAAGGAUGGACUCGCGGCCUAUCAGCUAGUUGGUGAGGUAACGGAUCACCAAGGCGACGACGGGUAGCCGGCCUGAGAGGGUGACCGGCCGGACUGGAACUGAGACGCGGCCCAGACUCCUACGGGAGGCAGCAGUGGGGAAUAGUGGACAAGGGGCGCAAGCCUGAUCCAGCAACGCCGCGUGAGGGAUGACGGCCUUCGGGUUGUAAACCUCUUUCAGCAGGGACGAAGCGAAAGUGACGGUACCUGCAGAAGAAGGACCGGCCAACUACGUGCCAGCCGCCGCCGUAAUAC